UUUUAGUGCCCGGUUCAGCUGUUUUUUCUUGUCUGGACCGGGGCAACCUGUCAUACUUAUUCCUACCAGGGAUAUCCCAUUCCAAGGAUAUCCCGGUUCAAUAUUAUCCUAGGGAUAUUCCACUCUGCGGAUAUCCCGGUUCGGGUUUAUUGACCCCGGUUCAGUUUUUUGUGAACCUGGUUCGGGUUUAUUGACCCCGGUUAGGGUUUUUUGGGAUCCCGGUUCGUGUUUAUUGGACCCGGUUGGGUUUUUUAAGGGAACCCGGUUCGUGUUUAUUGGACCCGGUUGGUUUUUUAAGGGAACCCGGUUCGUUUUUUGGGGAACCUGGUUCGGUUUUUU
rnacentral:lncRNA from 1 species